ensembl:snoRNA SNORA73 Small nucleolar RNA SNORA73 family
CUAACAUGGAUGCCCUGGGAGGUCCGUAUCCCCAGGCUCUGUCCAAGUGUCAUAGGGGAGCCUAGGGCUCUGCCCUGUGGUGUACAGUCCCUUUCCACAAUAUUGGAGAUGAAGCUGGUCUUUGUAUCUGCACCUUCGUGUUACUACAACUUCUCAGAGUUCUGUGUACAGUGACUGAGGAGAUAAACCUUGCAGGGAAUGAUG